rnacentral:rRNA from 1 species
AUUGCCUCAGUAACGGCGAGUGAAGCGGCAAGAGCUCAAAUUUGAAAGCUGGCCCCUUCGGGGUCCGCGUUGUAAUUUGCAGAGGAUGCUUCGGGUGCAGCCCCCGUCUAAGUGCCCUGGAACGGGCCGUCAUAGAGGGUGAGAAUCCCGUCUGGGACGGGGUGUCUGCGUCCGUGUGAAGCUCCUUCGACGAGUCGAGUUGUUUGGGAAUGCAGCUCUAAAUGGGUGGUAAAUUUCAUCUAAAGCUAAAUACUGGCCGGAGACCGAUAGCGCACAAGUAGAGUGAUCGAAAGAUGAAAAGCACUUUGAAAAGAGAGUUAAACAGCACGUGAAAUUGUUGAAAGGGAAGCGUUUGCGACCAGACUCGCCCGCGGGGUUCAGCCGGCAUUCGUGCCGGUGUACUUCCCCGUGGGCGGGCCAGCGUCGGUUUGGGCGGCCGGUCAAAGGCCCUCGGAAUGUAUCACCUCUCGGGGUGUCUUAUAGCCGAGGGUGCAAUGCGGCCUGCCUGGACCGAGGAACGCGCUUCGGCUCGGACGCUGGCGUAAUGGUCGUAAAUGACCCGUCUUGA